ACACUCCUACGGGAGGCAGCAGUGGGGAAUAUUGGACAAUGGGCGCAAGCCUGAUCCAGCCAUGCCGCGUGAGUGAUGAAGGCCCUAGGGUUGUAAAGCUCUUUCACCGGUGAAGAUAAUGACGGUAACCGGAGAAGAAGCCCCGGCUAACUUCGUGCCAGCAGCCGCGGUAAUACGAAGGGGGCUAGCGUUGUUCGGAUUUACUGGGCGUAAAGCGCACGUAGGCGGACUAUUAAGUCAGGGGUGAAAUCCCGGGGCUCAACCCCGGAACUGCGUUUGAUACGGGUAGUCUUGGGUUCGAGAGAGGUGAGUGGAAUUCCGAGUGUAGAGGUGAAAUUCGUAGAUAUUCGGAGGAACACCAGUGGCGAAGGCGGCUCACUGGCUCGAUACUGACGCUGAGGUGCGAAAGCGUGGGGAGCAAACAGGAUUAGAUACCCCUGUAGUCCC
rnacentral:rRNA from 1 species